rnacentral:tRNA from 1 species
CAAGACGUAGCUAUAACGAAAGCAUUCAGCUUACGCCUGAAAGAUGCCUGCCACUUAUCAGGUCGUCUUGA